rnacentral:tRNA from 1 species
GCCCCCAAUUCUGCCAAUUCUGGCAAACGUCGAGAAGAGCAAACUUAAAAUCCGUCAAGUGUCGGUUCGAGUCCGACUGGGGGCA